GAGAGCCGAGGUACCAUGAAAGUGGUACGCCCGGUUCGGGAAGGAGAGGUUGAAAACGGCCUUUUGGUAUCUUAACAGAUUAAACGCAUCAACCUCUUACUUUCAC
rnacentral:ncRNA from 1 species